GUUAUGUUCGUGUCUAAUUGUUUUUGUUUCAUAUUGAACAAGUUGGAACAGGUAGUUUCUGAUGAAAUCGCUGCAUGGCGAUGUAAAAUAGGAUUAUGGCUCUUCAUCAAAAGUCAUGAUGCGUUCCAAACCAGUUAUUGAUCCUUUUUUGGAAAAGUAUGGAGUUAUGCAGACUGUGAAUGAAAUAACUGCAUACAGGUUGUUUCUUUGAAGAUAUGAAUUUUGUUAUUUAGAUGCGAAUUUAAUUUUUUUCACUUAGACGUUUGUUUACGCGAUUAUCAUCUAUCUGAAUCUAUAUACUGAUUUGUCACAUUUCAGACUCCUGGUGAAUAAAAAUUUUCCUGAAUCUAAA
rnacentral:misc_RNA from 1 species